rnacentral:lncRNA from 1 species
AGAAGUGGCUCAAGUAGUCUCAAACUAUAAGAGGCAGACGAUUCGAAUCGAGUUUCUUAACCUUGCAAGGUGAACCUAACCCCAUGACAGAUGCGUACCACGACGGGUCCACACAUGUCAGUCGUUCCCAUCAAUUCCUAGGCACAUGGCCAGGGCCCACUUCCCUUGGGUACAAGGCCUCACGGUCCCAGAAUGUCGCUGUACCAUGACUGCACUUGUACCCACAUGAUGCAUC